rnacentral:lncRNA from 10 species
ACAGUCUCAAAGAUUUGUCAGUAUACUUUAAAACAAUCCUGGGAACAGUUCUAGAUUGAAGGAGACUAAAGAAUCAUGUACUAAGUGUAAUGUCUGAUGUUUGAUUGGAUUGUGAAUUUUUUAAGCCAUGUUAUGAUUGGGACAAUUGUGAAAAUGUGUAUACGGACCGCAUAGUAGACAAUGAUAAUAUGAAGUUCCAUUGAGUGAUGAUAGUCCUCUGGUUAUGUCAGAGAAUGCCUUGGUUCUUAGGGGCUGCACACUGAAGUCUUCAAUGGUGAAGGGUCAUUAUGUCUGCAACUGACUCUCAAAUGGUUUUGUCCAGAAAAUGUAUAGACAUACACACACGGAAAGCUAAUGUGGCAAAGUAUUAGCAACUACUGAUUCCAGAUGAAAGUUAUACAGGUGUUCAUUAUACCAUUUGAAAAUGUUUCCCAGCCAUCCUAAGGCUUAAAGGAAAAAAAGAAAAUGUUUAAAAUAAAAACUUGGGGGCAGAAAAAGAAUACCAAAAAUUUUGGGCUCAUGCCUGUAAUCCCAGCACUUUGGGAGGCCAAAGAGAGAGGGUUGCUUGUGCCCAGGAGUUCGAGACCAGCCUGGACAACAUGGUGAAACCCCAUUUCUACAAAAUAUACAAAAAUUAGCCAGGUGUGGUGGCACACACCUGUAGUUCUAGGUACUCAGGAGGCUGAGGUGGGAGGAUCACUUGAGCACAGGAGACAGAGGCUGCAGUGAGCCAAGAUUGCACCACUGCACUCAGCCUGUGUAACAGAGCGAGACCCGGCCUCAAAAUAAACAAAAGAAACACCUUUGUGGCAGAGGUAAGGUUGCUAUACAACAAAAUGCUGGGUUACGGUUCCGGGUCCAUUCCAUAUGAAGAUCAGAGGCUUCCACUGGACCCAAAGGAAUACUACUAGUCACUUGUGAUUGUUCCUUUAUAGGUUUGAAAGAUGUCUCAGGCCAACUUAUUGGAUGCAGUUUUAAUCUAAAACUCUAUACAUUGUACCCCCAACUCACAGACUUCUUGUAUCCAUGAAACCCUCUUCUGUUUUCAUAGUCUUAAUAUGGCCCCAAUAAAGCCAUCCUUUUGGAGGACUCAGAAAAGGCCCCCCACAACCUCUGCAACACAAUAAUUAUAGUUAACUCUUAUUGAGCACUCACUGUGCACCAGGCAUUUUUCAGGUAUUGAUUCAUUUGAUCCUCAAAAUUCAUUAGAGGUAGGUACUAUUAUAAUGACAAGGCCAAGGAACAGAGAUUAAACAAUUUGCCCAAAUUCACAUUAUUAGCAGAGCUGAGAUUGAAGCAUAGUCUGGCUAUGGAAUCUGUAUUCUUAAUGACCAUGCUAUACUGCCUAAGAUUAACCUUUUACUUCAGUUACAGGGAUUGUUUUUAUCUCUCUGAAAGUGCCCCCAAUAAGCCACAACAAUAAAUUAAUCAAUUGUCUCGGUCACCUCUUUUGCCCAAAUUUACGUAUUGGAAAAAAUUCAAACAAGCCAGAAAGAUGAAAGAAUAGUACAGAAUCCAAUCAAAGAUCAGGCACUGCAUGUCAUGUCUUCAUUUCCUUUAAUCUAAAACAUGCCUCUACUUUCUUUGAUCUUUCAUGACACUGGCAUUUUUUAAGAGUCAAAGAUAGUUGUCUUGUAAAUUGUCCCACAAUCCAGAUUUGUCUGUUUCCUCAUGAUGAAAUUCAAGUUAAGCAUUUUUGGGAAAAAUACUGCAUAGGUGAUGUAUCCUUCCUGCCUCGUAACCGCAGAUGGCCUGUAAUACUAAGUUUGAUCACUUGACUAAGGUGAUCUUCCAGGUCUCUCCAUUGUAAUUAUUUUGCUGGCUACAGUGGCUCCCACUUGUAAUCCCAGCACUUUGGAAGGCCGAGGUGGGAGGAUUGCUUGAGCCCAGGAGUUCUACACCAGCCUGAGCAACAUGGGGAAACUCUGUCACUACUGAAAAUACAAAAGUACAAAAAAAAAAAAAAAAUUAGCUGGGCAUGGUGGUGCAAGCCUAUACUCCCAGCUACUCAGGAGGCUGAAUUUGGAGGAUCCCUUGAGCCCAGGGGGGUUGAGGCUGCAUUGAGGUAUAAUUUUGCCACUGUAUUUCAGCCUGGGUGACAAAAUAAAAAUAAAAAUAAAAA